UAGUCAUGUUGUGGACAUGAAUUUAUGAGAUCCUUAAAUCACUCCUAAUAUUGGAAGAAGGUCUCAUCCUCUUUUUGCAUAAAAUUCAAGAUCGCUUUACUUAAGGU